rnacentral:lncRNA from 1 species
AAGGAACACUCACCUCUACAAGGUAGUCAAACAAUUUCAAGUUCAACUCAACGAAUAUAAGAAAAGAAAAAUCAAAUUCAACCAUGACAUUCACAUUGAGCAAAGAUCUUGUUGUAAAGAAAUCAGAAUUUGUGAAGAAAAGUCAUUAUCUUGUUGUUUCUGCUGAAGAUUGAACACUUUUGUACCUUGCUCAGAUUUGAACCACACUAACACUCUGAACCCAGACCACCAAAAUAUUUUCUGAUCCUUCAAUUUUCUUCAAAUCCACUGAGAAUAAAGGGAUCUCGAUGGAAUUGAAUAAACUUGGUUUACAAGAAAAUAAUUAUAUAUACAAUUACUGUAUAUUUCUAUAUGUACACGUCAUAGUACACAGCCCUCGAACACCAUCCAAAGUGAUUUUUUCAACUGCAGCUUCACCACUAAGUUUUAAAUCCUUCUUUCAUAGCAAAAUCGAAUAAGGAAUAAGAUGCAGUAUAGAGGAACCUAUAAACACACAAUAAGAAAACGUGAACCUACAGAAAUAAUUAUAACCACUUGCAGUUAAGAGUAACUUUUACUUCAUUGACUUUCAUCACUGUCACCAAAUAUAAGCACCAAACAUAAGCAGAAAUAAUUAGUACUGAUAAUGUACAACAAAGAUAAAAAAAAAAAAAAAAAAUUACUUGCAUAUUAUUGUCCCCAAUAGAAAUAAAUCUUGAAAACUAUAAAUUUAACGGAAAACUGAUGGCAAAAUGACUAAAAUGGAUAAAUCCAAAUCCCUCAAGCUCGAGCAAUCAAACAAGUUAUAUAAAUUCAUUUUGCUCACGGCUGACGUUCAAAUAUGUUAAACUGCUUAAACUCACCUUAAACUGCCUUCCAAAGAUGUUGUACAGGUUCAUCUUAUUCGUACUAAAUAAAUAAAAAGAAACGAGAAAUGAAAGGGCUUUUAGGCUUCACCUUCUUCUACUGACCGAAUGAACUUCUUCUUCCGUCGACUGUCGAAUGAACUUCACCAGUUCAGAGAGUUCACGAUUCAGUGCUAAGUGGUCUACGCCUUCUUCUUCCAAAAAGAUUCCCCUGCUGCCUGUUGUGCUCUCGUUUCGACUACGUCGUUGAUGGUGUCAAUGGAAGGAAAUGGGCUCCGCAUCAAGGGCUCAAACAGACACGAGAGAGAGAGAGAGAGGGAUUCUGGUGGCGAGAGUGAGAAAAUGGCCGUGCUUACUGUCUCACAGAUCGCAGACGAGAGAGCGAGAGUGAGAAAGAGGGGGAAGAAAUUAGGGCUGUC